CCUACGGGGGGCUGCAGUGAGGAAUCUUGCGCAAUGGGGGAAACCCUGACGCAGCAACGCCGCGUGAGUGAGGAAGGUCUUCGGAUCGUAAAGCUCUGUCAGUUGGGAAGAAAUGUCUGAGGGUUAAUACCCUUCAGGUUUGACGGUACCAACAGAGGAAGCACCGGCUAACUCCGUGCCAGCAGCCGCGGUAAUACGGGGGGUGCAAGCGUUGUUCGGAAUUAUUGGGCGUAAAGAGCAUGUCAGCGGUGGAAGCCCUGGGCUUAACCCAGGAAGUGCAUUUGAAACUGUCCGGCUUGAGUAGGGGAGAGGUAAGUGGAAUUCCUGGUGUAGAGGUGAAAUUCGUAGAUAUCAGGAGGAACACCGGUGGCGAAGGCGACUUCCUGGCCCUAUACUGACGCUGAGACGCGAGAGCGUGGGUAGCAAACAGGAUUAGAUACCCGGGUAGUC
rnacentral:rRNA from 1 species